CCCCUCUCUGGAUCACACCUGGAGAGUUCCCAGUACUCUACCAGUCUCGACCAUAGGUGGGAGAGUCAGGCAGAGGCCUAACCAUUCCAUCCCUAGUUUGGGCAGUGGCUAGCGAGUGGAAGGCCAUCGGCUACAAGU